UACGGAGGGUGCAAGCGUUAUCCGGAUUUACUGGGUUUAAAGGGUGUGUAGGCGGGCAGUUAAGUCAGUGGUGAAAUCUCCGGGCUCAACCCGGAAACUGCCAUUGAUACUAUCUGUCUUGAAUAUCGUUGAGGUAGGCGGAAUAUGUCAUGUAGCGGUGAAAUGCAUAGAUAUGACAUAGAACACCAAUUGCGAAGGCAGCUUGCUAAACGAUGAUUGACGCUGAGGCACGAAAGCGUGGGGAUCAAACAGG
rnacentral:rRNA from 1 species